rnacentral:rRNA from 1 species
UGGCGGACGGGUGAGUAACGCGUGGGGAACCUGCCCUGUACCGGGGGAUAGCAGCCGGAAACGGCUGAUAAUACCGCAUAAGCGCACGAAUGUCGCAUGACAUGGUGUGAAAAACUCCGGUGGUAUAGGAUGGACCCGCGUCUGAUUAGCCGGUUGGUGGGGUAAAAGCCUACCAAAGCGAAGAUCAGUAGCCGAGUUGAGAGACUGACCGGCCACAUUGGGACUGAGACACGGCCCAGACUCCUACGGGAGGCAGCAGCG